rnacentral:rRNA from 1 species
GUCGCUACUACCGAUUGAAUGUUUUAGUGAGGUCUUCGGACUGGAGCUGACGGAGAGGCCUUUGGCUGAUCUGUUAGUUUCGGGAAGAUGAUCAAACUUGAGCAUUUAGAGGAAGUAA